AAAUCGGCGUCAUUUGAGACGAGGACUUUCGGGCCCGAAAGGGUGUCCACCAACGAGGACCGUAGCACGGCUUGUGUACCGUAGUCUCCUCGGAGGCGACACCCUCAAAUUGCGGGAAACUCCUAAAGCUCACGCUCCAAAGCCGUCUGUGAAAGCAGUUCGGUGGCCAGGUUAAUUGCCUCGGGUAUUGGAACAACGCGUGAGAUGCAACAAUGGACAAUCCGCAGCCAAGCCUCUAAGUCUCUUGUGACUCUGGGUGAACGUGCUUCACCCAGUUUGCUCAAGGCGGGAGGACUCACAGAUCGAAACCGGAGUCACGACCUCUGGUCAUGNNNNNNNNNNNNNCUCCGGUGGUUCGGCGUCUCGAUUCUGCUGAGUCCUGGUUCGCGUCCCAGAGCCAAACUGCCUCUGGCAGCACCUAGACGGAGACUUAAGUGCCGUAGACGGAGGCUUAAGUCCCCAACUGCCUAACAGGCGGUUGGUUCUGAUUCAGGACCAGCCUGAGUCACNNNNNNNNCCAGCCUGAGUCACGAGAGAUAUGGGGAAGGUUCAGAGACUUGACGGGGGUGGGUGAAUUCACUGCUGCUGCAACAAUAUAAAUGGGGAGAGAUCCUCUUCUUCUUCNNNNNNNNNUCUUCUUCUUCCAACAACCAAACCAAACCACAACUGAACCUCAAACAAGACCCACAAGCUCUUCAAAAUGUCCCAUUCUUCUCCCUCUCCUGUUCUCGCUAACGGGAGCGAGUAUGUCGUGAGGGAUGGAGGUUCGUCUGGUCAGGCAUAAGGAACGAGAAUGCAGUGGCGUGGUUUGCUUAAGAUAAAGUCCGGGCUUAUGGGAAACCAUAGG
rnacentral:ncRNA from 1 species